AUCAUAUAUACCCUUUGUCGCUGUGCAAUCUCUAUGCCAUGGCAGCAGCUACCUUUAUAGCACCUUAAUGUAUGUGGCCAACGACUUGUGUACCAUUCGGCCUCCAUUUUUGUGAUGAUGGCGCCUGCAGAUGGAUGCAUCUCGCAGCCCGACGAGGUCAUCGGAUCGAACCGCUGAGCUCAGUUGGACUAUGACAUCUAGCCUGAUGAGAAGAUUUGUGUUGGAGUCCAAAGCUGAUGGAUCAUUCGCUAUCUCGGAGAAUGCAUGGAAUGAACCCCUUGUUUUUGGAACUGAGAUCACUCUACAUCUCCGCGAUGAGGCCAAGGAGUACUUGGAAGAAGGCAAGCUAAAUGAUACUGCGGAGGACUAGAUGGCUGUUACCAGCUAUGCAUGCAGAAAGGCGUCUUGGCUCCUGCGGUGCGGCGCUGCUGCUGGCUACAUGUGAACCAUGUGUGAUUUGUCGUUGAAGUUGCUUGUAAUGUGCUAGUAUGAGUGUAAAUUCAAAUAUUAAUCCGUAAUGUUAAGGUUAUAGUUAAAACCCUUCAAGUCUGAUGGAAAGAUUUUGUCACCUUCUAUGUACUAGCUGAUGAAA